AAACAACCAAGAAUAGGAGUAUAAAAUAAAGGCACUGUUUCCCCUCCGGCCCUCCCCUCUCUCCGCUGUUUCUCCAGCCUUUGAACAGGAAGAUGAUUAAGGUCCUACCGCGGUGGCCGUGCUACUACGUUGCUCUUUAAUAUCUUGUAGAGUAGCAUCGAUCCCAUUCACAAGAUGUAAUUCUAUGAUCCAGGUUUCGUUACGUGCUCUAUCAAUAGAGCAUCAAACUGUUGGAUAGCCUCUUGGUUCAAGUUCUUGGACUUUGGAAUAUGCUUUAUUAAAUACUUGACCCAAGUUGUUCCUGCUUACUUCUCAUUACCAUGCUAAAUUUUCCAGGGGGAACAAAUAUAGACAUCAACUGACUGUUUGAAGGAGAGGAACCCUGGACCAUGGCUUAAGGAUUGCGCCUGUAAAGAUUUGACAGUUAUCUUGAUAUGACUAUUGCUACCACAAAAUCCAGCAUCCAAUGGCCCUUCAUUAGGAAACCAAUACUGAUAUCAUGAGUGAUCCAAACAGCAUGGUUCCAAGAAUAGUUGAGAACGAGAAGCUAACUACUUCACUGGAAAUCACACACACACACAUACGGAGAGAUACAUAAGUAUGUAUGUAUGUAUCGUGGCUAUAAAAAGGCGUAUGCACGUAAUAUGAAUUUAGUGCUGGAAAGGUGAGUUUUUCCUGUGCAUGGUAACUUUGUAGGUCCUACUGGGUUUCGCGCGCUACUACUUUGUUUUUAAUAGCUGGUAGAGUAGCAUCUAUCCCAUUCACAAGAUGUAAUUCUUUUGCCUGUGACUGAAGCAUCCAUGAAUAGCUCACAUACAGAAUGGUACCGGUCCCCAAAUCCAGUGAAAGAGCGGGCUGUAUUUAACCAGUAUAUCGAUCUCCCGAUCAACUGGCUAAUCCACUUGACUUACAAUGUUCGGACUUAAGCCAUUGCUAAACCGAUCAACGAGGAAAUAUUUAUCUUUCACCACGUCGUGGGCUUUAUCACCAGACCUCCACUGAAGUGCAAGUUAAAUCGGAGCUCCCUCUCUCAAGUCUCAACCAUAUGAUUCCAAGUAUCUAACUCAAGACCGGUGGGAGAGGAGCAACGUUAUGUUAGCUCCUCCAACCACUUGAACUAUCACCUCAGUGAUCCUUUUUUUUCUUCUUUUUUUGUCCUAUUCAAAUAGUGGGAAACAUUCAAUUUCGAGAAAGUCGUGUUGAUUUUGAGUUGUGGUAU